UACGAAGGGGGCUAGCGUUGUCCGGAAUCAUUGGGCGUAAAGAGCGCGUAGGCGGCCAGAUAAGUCCGGUGUGAAAGUCAAAGGCUCAACCUUUGAAUGCCGCUGGAAACUGUCUGGCUAGAGUCCGGGAGGGGCGAGUGGAAUUCCUGGUGUAGCGGUGAAAUGCGCAGAUAUCAGGAGGAACACCAAUGGCGAAGGCAGCUCGCUGGAACGGUGCUGACGCUGAGGCGCGAAAGCGUGGGGAGCAAACAGG
rnacentral:rRNA from 1 species